CCUUCCUCCUCUUCCUCUGCUGCGGAGCGCCGUCUCUUCCCACUCCUCUGUGUAGAAUCACAGGGAGUGACCUUGAGCUGAGAGGGCCUGCCUCAUCUUACAGGAGAGGAAAUCCAGCUUUCGUCAACCCAGGACAAAGCUGCGUACAUUGAUUUCUGAAGGCAUGAAGUUUUAGACAAGAAAAGCCGUGAAAGGAGGCUGUUGGCAGCGGGUUGCUGGGCAGGAAAAAGAAUAACUUCACAGCCAGGAAGCACAGAGGAUGCCACCUUAAUGAAAUGAUUGAAGUUAACAUCAUUAAUAAUAGAACAUAUUGAAGUGUGGAUCCAAUGAGAAGAACACAUGACUUCUUUUGUAUUUCUGUCAAAGAUACAUAACCCGAAUCUAAUCAUUAGAAAACAUGGACAGACCCAAGUUGAGACACAUUUUGUAAAACAAUUAGUCUGUAACUGCAAAAGAGUCAAAAAAGUCACAAGAGUCAAGAAAAAACAGGAACUUUUCCCAGUUGAGGGAGACUAAAAGAGCUGUGACAAGUAAAUGCAACACAUGAUUCUGAACUGCACUCAGUUGCUAUAAGACACUACUGGGACAGUUAGUGAACCUGAAUGAGUGUGAGAAUUAUACGGUAACAAUGCAUCAGUGCUACUUUCCUGAUUUUGGUAGGAAGAGUGUCCUUGUUUAUAAGAAAAUGCUGAAGUAUUUGGGGGCCACAGACACCAUGUUGGCAACUUAAUCUCUAAGAGAUGAGGAGAAAACAGUUUUUGUUCUAAUGUUUCAAAUUUUCUAUAAAUCAGAUGUUGUUUGGAAUAAAAAUAUACUGUUAAAAAAAUUAAGAGAAAGGUUAGGCCGUUGGUGGGAUGGGCAUCAAAGUAGCAUGGAGAGGUGAGACUUGAGUUUGCCAGAAAGGAGCAGAAGCAUAUUCAGUGUUGGGGGAGCACCCUGGGCAGAGCAGAAGCAUUUCCGGUGUGGGGGAGCACCCUGGGCAGAGCAGAAGCAUUUCCGGUGUGGGGGGAGCACCCUGGGAAGAGCAGAAGCAUUUCCGGUGUGGGGGAGCACCCUGGGAAGAGCAGAAGCAUUUCUGGUGUAGGGGGAGCACCCUGGGCAGAAGCCCCACCAUCGGAAGAAAAAUGGCAGGAAUUGGGAGGAAAGUUACCCCUGCUCACCUGGCACAAAGGUUUGUAUUAGAAAGAGGGUAGCCAUGUAAUUUAUCAUGCAAUGUGUGUACUUUUGAGAAUGAAAGAGAGCACUGUUAAUAAUUACAUUUGGUCUUCAGCGUGACCUCUUAAGGAAAAACAAAAAAUAUGUAAAGAGAAAAAAACAAACUGCUUUUAAAAAUUCUAUUUUGACAUGAGCACAACAUGACUAUUUGGAAAACUGCCCUCAGCAAACUGGGAUAUGUGACCCCAGCUAGAAUUCAACAAGAGAUCAGGAAAUUUAGGGGAAAUGGAACCAAAUUGUAGAGGUUUGAAAUGAAAAUGGUCUUGCCUUCUGAUCAGUAGUAUAUAAAUAAAAUAAAAUAAAAAUGGUCAAA